rnacentral:sRNA from 1 species
GAUUAUCUUCUGAUUCCGUAGCCAAUUAGGGUAGGCGGCGCCGGCGCCGGCGCGCGCGAGGGGCGGCGACCGGCGGCGAAGCGCCUCCCUCCGCGCCCCCACGACCUCUGCGCCGCCAGAUCUGGCCCCGCCUCCACCGCCGCAUCCAGCUUCAUUCUCUGAAUCUUGAUCAGCAGAGUGGAGAUACAGAUGAUGAGGAAGAUGAUGCUGAUGCAAAUACCUGGAAAUGGAUGAUUACCUAUCAUAAGCUCGACUAGCCCCAUUAUGACAGACUUGUUGUUUCCGUUUGUUGGAAUGGAAUUGGUUAGGUUGAAUAGAAACGGAUAAGUAGAAAAUUUCAGAAACAAAACAACCUGUUAUUUUUUGCUAAGAAAACAACAUAUAUAGUCG